AAUAAAUAAAUAAAUAAAUAAAUAAAUGAGAUGAUACUGAGAAUAUUAGCAUGGCCACUGCGCAAGGAUGGCACAAAAAUUCGUGAAGUGUCCCACAGUUUU